rnacentral:lncRNA from 1 species
GAAAGUUAUUAAAAUUCUAAAAACUUUAACCACAGAGUGAAUGUAAUGGUUCCCCGCAGAAAAACUAAGUCCAUUUGUAAGUAAAAUACGGAAAAAAUGGAAUUUUAUUUUUACAAAAUUUACUUCUGGAUAUUAUCUUAUGAUCAUAAACAAGCUUCUGUCCAAGUUUGGUACAAACCCAGGAUAGUUUGAGAAAGUUAUUAAAAUUCUAAAAACUUUAACCACAGAGUGAAUGUUUUGUUUCCCCGCAGAAAAAAAACUAAGUCCAUUUAUAGUAAAAUAUGGAAAAAAUGGAAUUUUAUUUUUACAAAAUUUACUUCUGGAUACUAUCUUAUGAUCAUAAACAAGCUUCUGUCAAAGUUUGGUAGAAAUCCAGUAUAGUUUAAGAAAGUUAUUAAAAUUUCAAAAACUUUAACCACAGAGUGAAUAUUUGUUGACGCCGCCGACGACGCCGACGACGACGGAAUGUAGGAUCGCUUAGUCUCGCUUUUUCGACUAAAGUCGAAGGCUCGACAAAAACAAACA